UCUUAUCUCUUCACUUUUUCCUUGUCCACAUCCAACAAGCUCUUCUAGUUCAGAAGCUCCAUUUAUGAUCAAAAGAAGAAGAUUGGGAAAGUCAUUAGAUGCAGAUCCAGAGAUAAAUCUUUUGAGCUUGUGGCAAUGUCCAACAUGCAAUGCUUUUAGUUUUGGGAAGCAUGGCCGAGGAGAAAGAAGAUUAGAAUUUGUUUUAUCCUCCAUAUCAUCUUCAAUGAUUUGUUUUAAUUCUUUGCAUUUUCUUAUUUUCAGAAGAUUCAAUUGUGGUAGGCAUCUGAAAACAUGCUUAGGAAAGAUUACUUCCAAUUUUUCACAUCCAACUAUUUCUAAUGUGGUAAGAUGUUGGAGAUUAAAUGAAUUCUUGGAAGUCACCCAAAUAUAAGUCAUUUGAGGUAGAUUUUCCAACAACAAAUCCUUUAACCUUAAAUUCACUUGUUGCUCAAUCAUUCCUUGUCCAUUAAGAAAAAAAAUACCUUUUACUUCAGAAUUCCUUAUGGUUACAUAUUGCAAAGUGAAGAAAUGGUUCUGAAUUCCUUUUGGAUCCUGCAAGACAUUAAAAGGAAAUGUAAAAAAAUACAAACAGAAAACAAAAAGGAACAAACAACUAAUAAUUAUAAAAUAAAGACAAGGCUACCUUUUUGCUUAUGCUAAAAUGCUCUCUUGAAUCCGUAGGAACCGUCAAACAACUAUCAGAAUAAAACUCCUUCAAAGAUGGCCACGUCAUAGUGAGAUUGUUGGUAGCACAAAUGCUAACAAAAUUUGGUAGAUUAUAAAGAUAGAGUAUUUCCAAUGCUGAGAAAUGAAUAUGAAUCUCCUCACAAUCCUGAUUAGCUACGGGAUAUUGGCCAAGCAUAUAUUUCAAUUGGCCACAAUCACUUACUGAGAGGUAUCUUAAGUUUGGGAAGAUGGCAUUCAAACUCUCUUUGCCAUAUUCAUCUUCAAUGUCUAUAAUGUGCUCAAGUCCAUCACAUUGCCUAAUUGUCAAGCUUUCCAACAUCAAUGAUGAAGCAAUAGACGAUUUAAAAAGGUACUUUACCUUAUCAAAGCCUUUCAAUUCAAUAUCUCUUAUAUUAUGCAUAAUAAGCAAGGUCAAACCCUGUGGUUGUUUUGAAAGAUAUUCAACACUUUCAACUGGAGGAACAAAAUCUGAGUUCAAUAUCUGCAAUAUAUACACCAAGUUACUUCUUAAACCAAACUAAAUAGUGUCUUAACUUUAAUUAUUAAUGCAUUUCAUUCCAAAUAUUAUUCGUGUAAAUUAAAAUUUAAAGAAAUACCAUUGAUUGCUUAGAUUUAUUUGAUUCUUUAUGAAAAUAAUUGCUUUUUCUUUAGCUUAAUGACUUAAAGUUGAAAAGAAAAUAAUUUCCCACACAUAAUCUACUCCCAAUAAUUUAUCCAAUACAUAAAUAUUAAAAAUCAUAUUGCAACUCUGGGAUGAAUUCAGGUAAAACCAUUAACCAUUUUUAGCACAAGCAUGAUCCUGCAAUUCAAAUGUUUAGAGUAAUUUUUGUAAAUACACAAAGUAAGAGAUUGAUAAGCAUACCUUGAUCGCAAUAUAAUCUUCGUGUCUAGCUUUCGAACCAUUUGCUGAACAAUUUAUAGUAAAAAACUCAACACGUCUCCCAAUAGCUAAUGAUAGUUCUCCUACAGAUGGACAUCUUAUAAGAUAAUUGUCUAGAACGGUGCUACCCAGGGUAUGAUCAAGUUCGAGUACUUCUAAAGUAGGAAGCUCAAUCUGAGUAUUAUUUUGUUGUUGGUGACAAGAAUUCUCUUUGAAAUUAUUUUGUCUUGAAAAAUCUUUCAAAUCAACUACCUCUUUCAUCAUACCUCCAACAAAAGAGAUAGGGAAUAUACGUUGCAAUAAGUCACAUCCACAAAUACGUAGCUUUUUCAAACUUUGGAAGAUUGAAAUAUCAAUAUGAAAGUCAUGGUCAUCCUCGAAAUUUUUUUCCUUCUGAUUUUGAUUGACCCUUUCAUGAGUUAUGAUAUGCUUCAAACUAUUGCACUUUUUUAUGAUCAAUUCUUCCAAAGAAGUCAACGUCUUAGCUGUAGAUGCUGUAAAAAUUGAACCUAACUUCGGACAAUCAUUUAUCCUAAGGCUUGCAAGGCUGGAUAGAGAUCCUGUAAAGUAUUUAUAAAUAAGAAAAAUAUCGCUCACCAUAUUAGAGUUGGUUAUAUACAUAUGCUAUGUGUGCAAGAUACUGAUUUAAAAAAGAUUGGUUUCAAGGGACUAAAAACACUAUCCUAAGCAUAAAAUGAUUGGUUAAUAAUAUGAAAAGAAUCAUACAAAACAAUUUUCUUUAAAUAAUUGUAAAUUAUACAUAAAUUUAAAAUGAAAACUGUCUUUAAUUUUGAUUGAGACAAAUUUCACUGGUAGUGUAUGAACAAGUAGUUGGUUCAUGUAAAACUAGAUUAGUAAUGUAGUUUGAACUUUACAAAUGGAAAAUAAUUAUAUGGAUGAAACAGUGGACAAUUAAUAUAGGCUUAAAUUUUUCAUUUAAAUAAGAUAUUAACAGUUUACGUGUAUCUUGUAAUAACUUCAACUAAGCAAUAACAUGUAGACUUACUAAUACAUGCUUAAACAUAUUUAGAAAUGCAAAAAGAAAAAUGUACCUGGGCUAUUGUUCACAAUUGUUGUUGAUGGAAUUGAAGUGCUAUACAAAUGUGGAUGCUUACCUUCCUCAAUGAUUUCAUCAAGUUCUUCUUUUUUAUUUUGGUCUACAGAUGGAACAAUAUUCCCAAUUAUUUGAUCUAGCAUGUCACAUUCUUGUAUCUUGAGCAUUUUCAAUUGAGUUAAGCCUCUUACAAUGUUGGCCGAGAAUAUAUGUUUUAAUUUUCUACAACUAUUUACCUUUACUUCCUGAAGAUUUUGGAAGAUUUGUACAGGAUGCUCAGUGGUGAAUUCACCUUGACUUUUUUCUGUUUUGUCAUCAUCAGCUAAUAUAUGCUUCAGUUCAUCACAUCUUGAUAUUUUUAAUAUUUUCAAUUGUACCAAACUUCGAGCAACGAUAUACGUGAAGAUAGAUGUCAACUGUGGACAAUCACUUAAAUUCAGCUUCUCUAAGUUCUCAAAAGGCCCAUUGAUAGGUUGAAAACAAUACCAUAAAGCUCUUAAAUUUUUCAUUUUUUCCACUCUGAGAUUAUACAACUUGGAGAAGUGAGUUACCACCGUACUCGAUUGGUUACUAGUGUCAAUCAAACACUCUAUCUCUUCAGAAUUACGUAUCUCAAACUCACUCAACUCAUCCAAACCUCCUCCUUCAAUUUGAAAUAUAUCAGGGAUGAUAUUUUUUGCGCCGACCUGAAUAUUUGCUACAAAUAGAUUUGUUGCUUUUUUUGCCAAACCCUUAAUUACCUCAUUUGAUAUCUGAAAAUGGUUAAGCAAUAGAGUUCUGGGACGAUAUUGAAAAUAACUAUAAUCAUAAAAGUUAUCGGAUCCUAAUACAAUUGAAUACCUUUGCAGUGUUAGGGGGACACCAAAUGUGUUAAAGAAUUCAAUAUAGUCUUCACUGUUAGCAGUCCAUUUUCCUUCGAUAUCGACAAUGUACAACUCUUCCAGUAGUGGGGUUCUUUUGAUCACUUCAAAAUUUUUCCCUUUCAUUUCACAUUUGUACACGUGUAACAAUUUUAAGGUUGUUACUUGUGUAAUUGCAACAUCAAAUGAAGACAAUGAACAACCAUUCAACGAAAGACUUUGAAGUUUCUUCAUAUUGCUUACAAAUGAGAAGUCACUCAAUUCAUAAUAAGAAAUAUCUAGAUAACGAAGAUUUGUUAAUGUUUUUAAAGACAUUGUUGACAAUGGUGUUAUUCCAUCUUUAUCAUUGACUAGAAUCAAAACUUUGAGCAUUCUCAUUCUUUUGAAAAUUCCAUUCAAUUCUUCCAAUUUUGUCUUUAAGAGUAAAAACUCAAGAUUGGAACAAUCCAAAUCAUUUGGAAAUUUCACACACCAUAGAUAUCUUACUGAAUUUUGUUCAAUAGUCACAUCUUUUUCCUCUUCGCACUUGAUUAUCUUAUUCUCAUUCUUUGCUAUCAAGUGGGCCACAUCGCGAACUAUGUCAUGCAUUUUGACAUAUUCAUCCUUUUCAUCCAACAAUAAACAAGAACUAACGAGCUUAAUUUUGGCUGCAACCACUUCACUCCUUGCCUCCUCAUAAGAGUGUGCUUCUCCAACUACACCUAAUCCUAUAGCAUAUCUUGUUAAAAUUUCCAAUGGAAUUUCAUAAUCUUCAGGGAACACAGAACACAAUAGGAAAAGUGAUUUAGCUUCUUUAUUAUCCAAAUUAUCAUAGCUCAGCUGCAAGCACUUGUAGGGAUCAAUCAAACCUCUUUCUAUAUUUAUUGGCUUAGAACUUCUCAACUUAUUCAAUGCAACACUCCAUAUCGUCUCCGCUUUUCCCUUCAAACUACUAGCUACAGCUGCAAUUGCAACAGGCAAUCCUUUACAUUCAUUGGAAAUUAAUCUUCCCAGAUUCUUUAAGGUAUCAGGGGUGUCUUCAAAUAUAAGUGCUUUAUUUUGGAAAAGAGUCCACGCUUCUUCAUCCGUUAAAAUUGGCAAAUAAAUCUUUCUUUGACAAUCCAUUGAAGUACAAACUUCUUCUGAUCUAGUGGUAAUGAGAAUCUUGCAGCCUUUAUGAUGUUCAGAGGAGGGAAUCCCAAUGCCACCAAAGUCAAGCUUCUCCCACACAUCAUCUAGAAUCACAAGAAUUUUUUUCUCUUGGUUUAAUCUCAAGCACAAUCGUUGGGCCCUCUCCAUUACUUCAGUUUCUGGAAAUGUAUACUGCAAUGAACUUGCAAUUUUUUCUUGGAUCCUUCGAACUUCCACUGUACUAGAAAUAGGCACAAAAAGAACUUUUUCAAAAAAAUGUUCUGCUUCUACUAACUUCAUAACCUCCAUUGCUAAGGUGGUUUUACCACAACCCCCCAUCCCAUACAAUCCAAUCAUGUCAACAUCAUUAUUUUUCACUGCUUCUAGUAGUUUCUCAUAUGCAGAUUGUCUACUCUCAAAAUUCAUGCAUUUUUCUGAGAGAAUAUCAAGGGUGCCUGAAGGAAGUGUAGCAAUGCGGUCAAAUGGCACAUAUUUUCUACCCUCUGCGAUGAACUUUUCAAGGUACACAUUUUUAUUUGCUAACUUUUUUCCUACACGGUAUUGCCAAAUCCAAUUUGGACAGUGCCCAAAGCAGCAAAUUCUUUUCGCUUUUGCCUCUUUCAACAACUGAUUCACAUUGUCUACGUCAUUGAUAGCAUCUUGCAGCCAUUUGUCAACAACUUCACUCGUCUUUCUUGUUUGUUUCUUGGCAUUUGUAACAAAUUUUUGAACACUAUCUCUCGUUACAAUCAAAUCGCCCUCUUCUUCUUCAAGCUUUUUUAGAAAAUUGUUAAAGCAACAAGGAUAACGUAAUUGAUUUAAUGCUCCACACACUAAAUCUCUUGAAACAGAAGAUGCAAAACCCAAGAGGCACUCCAUCAAUUUGUUCCACCAAAUGCAAUUUUCUUUUACCUAAACAAGAGAAGUUGAAUACUCUGUAGUGAGUUUUAUAACUAUAUUUACAUUACAAGAAAAUUCAUGAAAUAGUAAUCAAAUUUAAAGACAAAAAAUAAUUAGUCACUAUAUUAACUAAAUUAUAUACUAUUUUAGAGACUAAUUUUCUUUUUGUAUAUAAAGUGCUUUUUAUUAUUAAUAAAAAAUUAUAAAAUAGUUUUUAAAUUGAUAUCUAAAUUAGCUACCAAGAUUUUAGCUACUAAUAUUUUAGAGUUUUAAUUGGUCUGAAUUAGUCUUUUAGAAACUAAUUUAAAAUCUAAAAUAUUAAUAGUUAAAACUUUAGUAGAUAAUGAUUAGAUACAAAUUUAAAAACUACUUUAUAAAUUUUUAUUAAUAACAAAAACUACUUUAGAUACUAAUAAUUUUCUUAGUUUCUAAAAUAAUCUCUAAUAUAAUAUAAUAGUAACUAAUUAUUUUUGUCUUUAAAAUUAGUUGCAAUUUGAUGAUUUUAUAGUGUUAAAUGUAUUAGAUAACAAAAGAUUUUAAGAUAUUUGUUGCAUUAUCCAGUACAUCACUUUUAUAGUAAAGGUUAUGAUGUUAUGUUUAGUAAUUAGAUUUCAUGUUUUAUACCUUAUAUAAUCAAUUAUUGUACACACAAUAGAAAUAAAAAUAAAUCUAAUAACUUUAAUGAUUACUUUUAAAGGUUUAUGUGUUAAUAACAAAUGUUGGUAAUUCCUAAAAAAUUGUAAAUAUUCAAUAAAAUAAAAUAAAAUAAAAGUAUCUAAAAGGUUACUUGAAAUUUAAUUAAGUCUAAAAUAAAUGAAUUUUUUUAGCUAAUUGCAUAUACUCAAUUACAUUGAGAUGAGUUAGACUUGGUACUUUAUGAGCUCUUCUCAAUUUAAACCAAGACUCGAGUGCUUUUAAAAUUCUACACAAACUUCUAAUGUUUUGAAAACGUUACAUUAUCACUGUUUGUUACAUCACACAUGCAAUUUCAUUAAAAACAGUUAAUAUAGGUAUAAUUCAGUUUUAUUAAAAACAGUUAAUAUAAGUAUAAUUUUUUAGAAUAUUAAGGAGUAUGAUUGUAUUUUACUCACUCAUUCAUUAUUCAUGAUUGGAUGUAUAAAUUUAAUAAACUAAAUAAUCUAAAAAAACAAUCUCUUCUCUUUUUAUUUUCUCAAUUAACACUGGUUUAUAUUUAUUCCAGGUCUCAUCUUUUUUUUAUUUCAUUAAUUUAUUCACCUCUAUUUUUUUCUCAAUACAAGUUUUUAGGCCGCAACAUUCCUUCUUUUCAGUGAAAAAAAGAAAUAACUUUCUAAAAAUAAUUUAAAAUAUAUAUGAUAAUUAGUUUUAAGCAAAAGUAUCAUAUAAUUAUUUUUAGUAGAGAAACUAUGUACUUAUUAUUUACUAAAUAAAAUUUUAUUUAAUUUAUUAAAAGAUAAAAUUAUCUAAUUAAAAAAUGACAAAAAAAGAGUUAUAAAAAAUAUGUUCUGAUACAAAUUAUUAAAAAUAGUAAAUUAAUCAACCCUAAUAAUAAAAAGUGAUAAUAAAUAAAUAAUGACAAAAAAAUAAUAUUAAUGAUAUAAUAAAGAAUAAUAACAAUAAAAAAUUUAAUUAUUUUAUUUAAAUUAAAUAAUCUCAAAAAAAUAUAAUUACUUUUCUUUUUAUUUUCUCAAUUAACACUGUUUUAUAUUUAUUCUGAGUCUCAUCUUUUUUUUAUUUCAUUAAUUUAUUCUCCCUCUAUUUUGUUUCUCAAGUCAACUUUUUAGGCUGCAACAUUCCUUCUUAUCAACAAGAGCAAAAAAAUAAAAUCAAAUUCUUAAAUCUAAUUUAUAAUACAAAUUAUAAAUUUUCUCUGUCUAUUUUGUUUCUCCAAAUCAACCUCUCUAGUUGUUUAUAUUCCCAGUUUUCACAGAUCUCGUAGUAUUUCUAAUCCAAAUUAUUUUCUCAGAUCUCACAUAAAAAAACAGAGUAUAUUGUGUUUUGAUCCAUAAGAAGAGAUUAAUUUGGAAGUGGAAAAAGAGGAAAGGUUUUUACGUUACCUGCUUUAACUAAUAUGUAGAGAGAGAUGAGAGAAAGAAGUGGUGAUCCAUGACUUCAGUACAAGAGACACUCAAACGUUAAGUUACUGCACAGACAUAAACACAAACACGUGAUCUGCAGCUUCAAUUGAAAACGAAUCUAUUAGAAUUUGAAAACAAAGCAAAAGUUAACUUCACACUGAUUCAUACCUCCACAGAGAUGAAAGUACUCCAUUGCUUGAAUCGAGGAGAGAGUACAAGAGAAGCUGAAACGUUAAGUUACUGCACAAGCAUAAACACAAACACAUGAUCUACAACUUCAAUUGAAAAGGAAUCGAUUAGAAUUAAGUUAACUUCACAGUGAUUCAUACCUCCACAGAGAUUAAGAAUGAACGCACAGUUAUUCCAGCACAAGAGACGGUGAAAGGUUAAGUUACUGCAGAAACAUAAACACAAACACAUGAUCUACAGCUUUAAUUGAAAAGGAAUCGAUUAGAAAUUGAAAUGAAAGCAGAAGUUAAGUUCAGAGUGAUUGAAACCUGCAGAGAGAUGAAAGGAAUCCAUUGGUUGAAUGAAGAACAGAGUAAAAGAGAGAAUCCUGCGAGAGAUGUGAAGAGUGACUAUUAGUCUUCUUCCCACUGAUAUCAUUGGUCUUCUCUUUUCUAUCGAUUAAUAUUAUUAUUAUUAUCAUGAUUCAGGAAGAUGCAUCCACUUGCACUUUUAUAUCUUUUAAAACUCUUUCUGCUCUUUUUAUAUAAUAAUUAUUCUUAUCUUUUAUUAUUGCUCUCUGCAGUUUUUUGUUAAUCAGCAGCAGUGCAUUGCACACGGUAUUUACAAAACUUUAAACGGGGAAACAUCAUUCUCACAUAACAAUAAUUUAUUUUAUUUAUUAAACAAUACACAACCAACAGAAAAAAAACAAAACUUAUUUAACCUUCGAGUUGUACCAGCCUAAUUAAAGUUGAGAAUAUUAUUGUAAUUUUUUAAAUAAUUUUUACUUUUAUUUAGUAUGAAUGUUUCAACCCGAUUUAAAUUCAUCCUGAAAUUUAAUGUAAAAACUAGAAGUGGAAAAUGACCUUUUAAAAUUUUUAUAUUUUCUUAAAACAUAUUAUUUAAAACGUAUUUUAAAAAAGUAAACUAUUGCUUUCGAGGAAAAUUGAAUUUAGUAUUCAAUUUCAUAAAAGAAUAAAUAAAAAUAGAAAUGGAAAUGGAUGAUUCCUUUUAAAUUGACAGAUAGGAGUAAACUGAUUGAGAAAUUAGAACCAAAUGAAAUAUAUAGUAAAGCAUGCAAAAAAAGAAAAAUAAGGUAUUACAAAAUGACAAUGGACAGUCAUUCAAGGAAGGGCAACAAAAAUGGGUUUCUGUAAUUUUUAAGAAAAACAUGUGAUCAUUAUAUGUUACAUAAAAGAACAAAUAGUUUUUUAUUUUAUUUUUCAUAACAUUGUCUUUGUCUCACCCAGACUUCUUACACAACAAUAAAUAAGAUACCAAACAUACAAUAAUAUAACAAUCAACAUUUAGAAAGUAAAUUGAAACUAUUUGAUAUUGUGAAAAUAUUGAAGCAUACAACCAUCAAGAAACAAAAGACGGAACAAAACAGUGUAGUUGCAAGUCUUCCUUUUGAGUGAUGAAGAGUUUGAUCCUUAAUAACAGUGAACAAUGAAAAUUCUUAUGAGGGAUUUCUGGCAGUCAUGCGAUUGUACUCAUAUUGACUACAUAGAAUUGACCAUUUAUAAGUCACCUCAAACAACUUUUGUUCAAUUUUUCUUUGAUCUUCCACCAUUUGAGAAUUGUCUUUCCUCACAUUUUCAAGCUCCAUUUUGUACCCAAUAGUUUCCGCAAUGCAUUUAUUUUUUUCCUCCUCCAGAGAUGAUAAGGCAUCCUCACAAACUUUUAUUUCUUCCUUUAAAACAACUUCCUUCAGUUGAGCUUCAUCAUAAAAAUUCUUUGCCUCAGAAAUUUUGGAACCAAGAGAAAUGGUCACCUCAUUUCCACGAGCUUCAAGUUUUGCCAACUUCUCAAUGGUAGCAAAGCCUCGCUUAAAGGAGCAUACAAUGCUUGGGAACUCUUGCUGCAUAGUGCCUAUAAUAUCUUUGAGUCCAUCUGAUAGAGUUACAUCUUUGAAAGGAAGGUUGGACAGGAAAUUAAGAGCAGACAAAAGACGAAUGUUGUUAGUCUCAGAGCUAACUAUGUCCUUCAGAGACAUCUUUAGAUACUUUUCUAACUCAACAAGGGUAUUUCCAACUAAAUUAUCUUCACCCUCUUUCCCCACAACAAUUGGUGCAAAUAAACUCAUUAUAUCAUUGGCCCCAAAGUCUUGAAUAAUUUUAGGAUGACCUUCACUUUCUUUAGCCGUGUCUGUCUCAGUUUGAUUGCUCCAAAUUUCAGUCUUGGAGGAAUAAGAAGAAAAUAUAACAAAAAAGACGUUAGCAGUCACAACAAUUUUAAAGCAUUGAGUUCCUUAAACCAUUUUAUAUCAAAGCAUAUUUGUGAGAGUGAUGGUAACAAACUCAUUAAAUUUAAAUUCCAACUUGAAAUUCAAUACUUUUUGUUUCUUAAUUCCACUCCUACGGCAAAUGGUAAAUCAGAAUGGCAACAUCAUUUUUAUGCUGACCAAAUAUAUUGCAUAAAAUAAACUUACAUAUGUAUGCAUUUUUAUUUUGAAAAUGACAACAUGUGUGCCAAUAGAAUGCCUCAGUUUUAUUCUGUUUGCCAUUUACUUGAGUAAUUUCGGGGCUACUUACAAUUUCUCCUAGUGGCUUUUGUUGAUUCAUCAAACACAGUUCACUAAUUCGUUGUUUGUCCACCAAUGCCUAAACAAAGUAAUGAAUAAGUGUAAAAUACUAUUAUUUCAUCCAAUUCUCGAAAAAUAUUUUUAGACUCACAUUUGAGUGUGUUUCACGUAGAGGUAUAUUCGAGUAACUUGGACUUGGCCUUUCAACUGGUUGCGAGUUUGUUAAUGAUGUUGUUGUUCUUGGUAUUUUUGAAGUGGAAACUUUUGCAACAAAUUCCUUCUUUGGUUCUUCAUUUCUCGCAGUCACAAUGCGAUCAUUAGAAACAACAACUAUUUCACCUUCUUUGUCAACCAAGUUAGAACCUUCUUCGAAGUUAUUGUUAACAUUCUGGGUCUUCACACUUGGAGAAGUUCUUUUGCAGUUUUCAUUAGGCCCAUCACCAUGUUCAACAGCCUGAGAAUCUAGUACCAUCUCCACACUACUAGACCUGUGUAACAAACUUAAAUUUUUUGCUUUAUGCAUCCCAAAGAACAGAAAACUAAGAAACAUAUGGUAUCAAUCUUAUAAGAAUUGUAGAUACAACCACAAUGUAUAUAUAAAUAGAAACAGGAAAUCCACACAGCCACAACAUAGAGAUAUAACUUCCAAUUCACAAAAAAACUAAUACAUUUUAUCCGGGCAUGAACAAAGUCAUUUAUGACUCUUAAUUUCAUUCAUUCUUUACAUUACAUUGUCAAGAAGUUAAAUGAACAUACCUCUUAGGAUUCUCAUCCAUUUGUCUCUGUGCAAUUUCCUCUCUCAGCUUAGGAUCCCUCACCACAACACGUUGACGCAUUUCAUCUACCCAUGAACUCUCAAAUCCUAUCUCAAUAGCUUUUUCACAUAGUUUAUGGAAAUCUUUUUCUCUUUGAGGAAUAACAUUAUCGCCACUUCCCUUCUGCAGGAACAACAACAUAUCUGCCAAAAUUUUCAACCUCCAAGCUUGAAAGCGCUCACUGAACUUCUCGCAAGCAUUCCAAAGAUGAGGAUAUGUUGUUAUUGCCUCCACAAGAAGAGCAAUUUGUGCAUCAUCCAAAUCAACAAAAUGUUUAUAUGCUCCCAAUCUUGUAUGAAUAUCUGCAGAAGCUGUAAAAAGUUUGAGAGGGUGAUAUGAAAAUAUAGGAUGAAAACGAGAAAGUAAGAAAUAAAAAACCUGGAGAAAUGUCAAUGUUGUUGUUGUUAGAAACAAUAUGUAUUUCCUCUUGUUUAUCCAACAGAUUCAACCCUUCUUCUAACUGGAUUUCUUGGCUUGGCGUGAUUCCUGCCAUGCCUUCAUUCAUUUUAUCAUCUUGUUCAACAACCUUGGAAUGUUUUGCAAGUAUGUCCACACCACCAGACUGAACGUGAGUUGCAACACCACCUCCAUUGCUAAUGUCUUCAACACCAGUUAACAAAGGUUUUGUCUUAUCACCCUCUACUGCAGGCCCCUCUUCAAUGCUUUCAUUUCCUACGUCCCCAAUCUCCUGUGUAUCACAAAUUGAAAAAAUAUGAUUGAGAGAAUCUAAAGUUUGAAAGGACCACAAUCUUCUUCGAUACCACUCAAUAUUAUGCAAUUUGCUAAAGUAAGUGCUAUAAGUCAUUCACUUUCUCUAAUAUUUAGAAGAGCUUAUUGAAUACUAACCGGUGAGUGUGCUUCGUUUUGGUUAUGCUCUGAACCAGGUUCUUCCUCAAUAAAUUCCUUCAUUGAUUGUUCAUCAAUCUGAACAACGCCAAAAUAUACAAAUUCAAAAGCUCAACAAGUUAACAUUUUUAACUAAUAUAACCAAGUUAUAAAUGAAGAGGUUUUUCUUUUUUAAUUAAUUGAUUGAGUCAUGGCAAUAUUUACUUUGGGGCAUUUCCAUAACAAUAACAAAUGGAGACAAGAUGCAAAGAAGAAUGGCUCAUAUACUAUUCUCAAACUUUAGAACAUUAUUUUAGGAAGUUUUAAUUUACUUUUUUAGACUUCAUUGUAUCACUUAUCUUUUUAAGAUCUUUUCGUAAUUUUUAUUUUAAUAUAAAGAUCUUACAAAAUUCAAUUUUUCAUUAAUAUUUUAUUUGAUGGUUUGCAGAAAUAUAUAUUUAAAAUAUUGUUUUACUUUUCUGACUUGGCAUGUUAUUUAAGAUUCUAAGUCUUAUUUUUUUAUUCUACCAUGUGAGUUAAAAUUGAAAAAAUUCUUCUAAUAAUGAAACAAUUUGUUUUAUUAAACUUUCUUUCAAUUGCAUUACAUUCAUAGAUUGGUUGGUUCUGACCUGUGAUGAAAUGAACUCACGUAUGUCCCCCACAGAAACUUCAGUGUCUUCGAAAUCUGUAAAAAAAAUUCAUAUUAGGGAAUUCAUGUGACAAUGAAACACAUAACAAAAAGGAAAUACAACAUCAAGUUUCCAUGAUGGAUCAUUAUAUCACUACGAUCAAAAAUAAAAAAUGAUUUAGAAAGUUUUAUGAUAGGAUUUUUUUUAUCACCCAUCCAAAUAAAAUGGUGACUCUGUCUUAAGGAUCGUUUUCUUUAUAACUGUUCUUCAUAACUAAAAUUAAAAAACUUGCAGCAAAAAGUAAUUUAAUGUGUUUUAUUUUAAAAAAAGUAAAUUUUCAUAGUACACUAGUGCUAAAUAAGAUCAAUUAAAUUAUAUAGAUAACUAAAUCAUAUAUAAAUUGAGCUUAAGAUUAGUUCCAGAGUUUGACAACCUUCCAAUAACAAUUUGUAUUUGAAGAUUCUAUAUAGUAUUUACCUUCAUAAAGAAGAUUUUUAGCAAGCUUUGUAAGAGUAGUUGUUGGAGUCAAAGAGAGUUUUGGACAUUCGUAGACAACACAGUUCUUUAAAUUUGGCAAUUCGGUCUCUUGACAAAAUUUUGAAAGAUGCAUAAAUAUUAAGAGUUUCAGUCUUGGAAGCUCAACUUUACUCUUUCCUAUAUGAUCACCUUUUUCUUGUACACAUGCAACAAACUCUUCUAGUUCAGAAGCUCCAUUUAUGAUCAAAACAUGAAGAUUGGGAAGGUCAUUAGAUGCAGAUCCAGAUAUAAAUCUUUUCAGUCUGUCACAAUGUUCAACAUACAAUGCUUCUAGUUUUGGGAAGCAUGGCUGAGGAGAAACAAGAUUAGACAAUUUUUUAUCUUUCACAUCUUCUUCAAUGAUUUGUCUUAAUUCUUUGCAUUCUCUUAUAUUCAGAUGAUUCAACUCUGGUAAGCAUCUUAAAACAAACUUUGGAAAGACAACUUGCAAUUUUUCACAUCCAAUGAUUUCUAAUCUUUCAAGAUUUGGGAAGGUAAAAGAAUUCUUUGAAGUUUCUUGUUCACAUCCAAAAAUCUGCUUCAAUUCCAUGCAUUCUUUUAUAAUUAGGCUUUUCAACUUUUGUAAGCUUCUUAAAACAGAGGGAGGAAAGAUUACUUUCAAUUUUGCACAUCUCAUUAUUAUUAAUGUGGUAAGAUGUUGGAGAUUAACUGAAAUCAUGGAAGCCACCCAAAUAUAAGUCAUUUGAGGUAGAUUUUCCAAAAACAAAUCCUUUAACUUUAAACUCACUGGUUGCCCAAUCAUUCUAGGUCCAUUAAGACAAAAAAUAUCUUCUACUUCACAAUUCCUUAUGGAUAGAUAUUGCAAACUGAGGAAAUGGUUCUGAAUCGACUUUAGAUUCUGCAGGACAUUAAUAAGAAAUGUAAACAAAAAAAUCCAAAUAGAAAACAAAAAGGAACAAAUAACUAAUAAUUAUAAAAAUAAAGACAAGACUACCUUCCUACUUACGCUAAUAGGCUCUCUUGAAUUCGUAGGAACCAUCAAACAACUAACAGGAUCAUAAAAAGGAUAUGAGCAUCGGUAACACAUAAACUCCUUCAAAGAUGGGUAUGUCAUAGUGAGAGAGUUUGUAGCACAAAUGCUAACAAAAUUUGGUAGAUCAUAAAAAGAGAGUAUUUCCAAUGCUGAGAAAUGAAUAUGAAUCUCCUCACAAUCCUUAUUAGCUACGGGAUAUUGGCCAAAAAUAUAUUUCAAUUGGCCACAAUCACGCACUGAGAAAUUUCUUAAGCUUUGGAAGAUAGCAUUCAAAUUCUCUUUCUCAUAUUCAUCCUUAGUGUCUAUAAUGUGCUCAAGUCCAUGGCAUUCCUCAAUUCUUAAAGAUUCCAACAUCAAUGAUGAAGCAAUGGACCAUUUAAAAAUGUACUUUGCCUUAUCAAAGCCUUUCAGUUCAAUCUCUCUUAUAUUAUGCAUAGUAAGAAAGGUCAAACCCUGUGGUUGUUUUGAAAGAUAUUGAACACUUUCAACUUGGAGAAUACGAUCUGAGUUCGAUAUCUGCAAUAUAUACACCAAGUUACUUCUUAAACCAAACUAAAUAAUAUCUUAAUUAAGUAUAAUUAUUAAUGCAUUCCAUUUCUAACAUAUCAUUCGUGUAAAUUAAAAUUUUAAGAAAUACCACCAAUUUGCUUAGAUCCAUUUGUUUCUUUAUGAAAAUAAUUUCCUUUUUCUUUAGCCUAAUGAGUUAAAGUUGAAAAGAAAAUAAUUUUCCAUAAAUAAUCUACUUGAAAUAAUCUUACAGGAUAACUGUCUAGAAUGGUGCUUCCCAGGGUACGGUCAAGUCUAGAGUACUUCUAACGCAGGAAGCUCAAUAUGAGUAUUAGUUUGUUGUUGGUGACAAGAGACAGGGAAUAUGUAUUGCAAUAAGUCACAUCUAUGAAUAUGUAGCUCUUUCAAACUCUAGAAGAUUGAAAAAUCACUCUGAAAGUCAUGGUCAUCCUGGACAAUAUUUUUCUUUUGAUUGUGAUUGACCCUUUCAUGAGUUACUAUAUGCUUCAAACUAUGACAGUCUUUUAUGAACAAUACUUUCAAAGAAGUCAAGGUCUUAGCCAGUGAUGAUGGAAGAAUUGAGCCUAACUUCGGACAAUAGUAUAUUGUAAUGCUUGUAAGGCUUGAUAGAG
rnacentral:lncRNA from 1 species